GGCUAUCUGAAUAUAAAUCUAUGUAGUCAAGCUUGUUCCACCCACCAAUCCUCCGAGAUGACAUUAUUGAUUCUGCAAUUGGUCGAUUAUCAAUCUGUAGCUCAAGGGAAGGUUGUCCCUAACCUAAAUCACCUCGGUCUUACCGAUGGAUGAUGUAGGCACCAAAGAAGCCUUGCUUGAUGAUGUCUCAAUUUCAUUUUUUAACCAAUAAUAGUCCUCAGUAUACUCGUAGUCAUGGUGGAAGUGGCAAAACUUGCUUGUAUCCUUGCAAGCAUUCGACCUCAUCUACUUUGGACACCUAACAAACUCUUGAUUCUUGAUCUUCAUAAGAAUCUAUCUUCAAGAAGCAUUAAAAGGUAUAUACUUUUGAGCCUUUGAGGAGGAUUCCUUAUCGGCAAAAGUUCUCCCCAUCUUUGUUGAGCUUCUUAUAGGGCUCACUCAAGUCAUCACUAGUGCACUUAUUCUUUUGCUUGCUGACCUUCACAUUGCA
rnacentral:lncRNA from 1 species